rnacentral:lncRNA from 1 species
CCGCCCGCCGCCGCCACCACUUGGUAUCGCCCGGCCGCCGCGGGGCAGGAAGUGCGGGGCGCCGGGGAAAAGUUUCUCUCUCUAUUUUGCUGUUUUUUUUUUUAACUCUCCUUUUUUUUUAUCUAUAUAUUUUUUUCAAUUUUUUUACUUUUUUUUUCCUUCCUUCCUUCCUUUUUUUUUUUUUUCCCCUCUGUCUUUUAAUCCCAGUGCGAACAAGGAAGCGCUCUGCCGCAGGCCCUACAACGAGUUCUGCCACCGCAGCCAACGCGUCCCCCCCCGCCCCAGCCGUGCCCACGGGGCCGGGCAGGUGGAUCCCUACGGGAGCCCAAGCGAGCACAUUCGGUGCGGGUGCGAGAUAAGAACCGAGCAGAGCUGAAAUCGGGGCCACGCCAGGGAAGGAAAAAAGAAGAUACUGAGAGAUUUCAGCAACAAACCUCGGGAGGCACAAAAAGCCCGCUGCCUCCAAGCUGCACCUUUUCAAAGCUUAUCUCCAUACCUCCACUGGCAGAUUUUGUUGUGACCAGAAACAAGAUGUCAGUCAAAACCUUCACCACCACUACUUGGGAGGACGUUAGGCACUAAUUCCUGAUGAGGAGCAAUCCCUGACUGACAGCAGUCUCUUGGGAAACGCCAGGGAAGGAAGGACAGCCUCCCAGAGCUGCUCACAAGCUCCCUGUGUGAUGAGAGGCUGCAAACACACACACAUGUAUAGCAAGCCCCGUGUUUGGAAGUUAAAGUCAGUAUGUACACAGUUGGUUUCUCCUAUCAUGUGCUUAAACACGCACUUGAGCCCACUAAUGCAAGAACUUCAUGUCUUGUUGUAUCAGGCACGUCUGCAAGAUUGGGCCCUUUGGAUGUGUCUGACUUACAUGAAGUUCUUCGUUUAAUGUCUUGUUUUAGAUUCAUAAAACAUUUCAGUUGGAAGGGACAUUUAAAGGCCAUCUGGUGCAGCUCCCCUGCAAUGAACAGGAACACCUACAGCUCCAUCAGUAUCUUCCAGAGCACUUUCCUGGCCUGUUUUCAACGACCUUGGAGGGUGAGGAGAGAUGAGACGGUGGUAUUUGCCAUACCCAUGAGAGUUUCUUUGUCUGGUUCGAAUGACGUAAUAUGGAACGACUGAAAGUUCAGAAAAUGUCCUUACAGCACAAUAUGUGAUGGAGUUUUUGCAUGGUUUUUCCUCUCCAACCGACUUGCUGUGCCUGCUGCUGUGCCAGUGAAAGCAGAUAGACGCAAAAGAAAAAAAAUAGAUGCAAUACUCCAUCACUGUGUCAUUGCUCUUCUUCUCCUUAGCAGGAGUUUGCCUUAGCUGCUUUCCUCCCCUCUGAGGAAAAAUGAAUAGCGAGAGCCGUGACG